rnacentral:lncRNA from 1 species
GUCAAGGGCUUGUUGUUUGACUGGGGCUCAAUACAUGCAAUAAACAACUUCUUCAAUUUAUUAUCUCCUUGGCCUGAGGCUUUGAUCCUGGAAGAGGGAGCACCUUUUGCCCACAAAUGCUGAUGGAUCCAGCCCUAGUUUCAGCAACAAGGGUGGCAGGAGCCUCACAUUUUAGGCUUUGAAAAUCUGUGAAAUCAGCUGCAGGUCCUGUAAAGCCUUUGUGUUGCAGAACUACUGGAAUAUACUUCAGAGCUUCGGAUUGUGGCCAAGUUAAAGACAGAAGCAAGGAAAAAAAAGCACAGUUAAAUCAGCUUCUCAUUUGGUGCCUCCCGGUUCACGUCUCAACGCUAGACAGUGUUGACUCCGCAGCUCAGAAAAAUCUGGAGUUGGAGGGGUCCUCACAGAUUAUGCAGUCCUUCUGUCUAAACUGAGGAAACAGAGACACCCCCCAAAUCCCCUGGAUGGUAAGUGACAGGGAAUCAGUAAUGAUGGAGGUGGGAACCCCAGCUAAACCUCCAGGAUGAGCAC